GUGGUACUCCCUCCGUCCGGAAAUACUUGUCAUCGAAAUGAAUAAAAAAGGAUGUAUCUAGAUGUAUUUUAGUUCUAGAUACAUCCCUUUUUAUCCAUUUUGAUGACAAGUAUUUUCGGACGGAGGGAGUACUAG
rnacentral:pre_miRNA from 1 species